GACGAACGCUGGCGGCGUGCUUAACACAUGCAAGUCGAACGGAAAGGCCCUGCUUUUGUGGGGUGCUCGAGUGGCGAACGGGUGAGUAACACGUGAGUAACCUGCCCUUGACUGUGGGAUAACAUCAGGAAACUGGGGCUAAUAUCGGAUAGGAGCUCCUGCUGCACGGUGGGGGUUGGAAAGUUUCGGCGGUUGGGGAUGGACUCGCGGCUUAUCAGCUUGUUGGUGGGGUAGUGGCUUACCAAGGCUUUGACGGGUAGCCGGCCUGAGAGGGGGACCGGCCACAUUGGGACUGAGAUACGGCCCAGACUCCUACGGGAGGCAGCAGUGGAGAGUAUUGCGCAACGAGCGGAAGCCUGAUGCAGCAACGCCGCGUGCGGGAUGACGGCCUUCGGGUUGUAAACCGCUUUCGCCUGUGACGAAGCGGGAGUGACGGUAAUGAGUAAAAAAGCACCGGCUAACUACGUG
rnacentral:rRNA from 1 species